rnacentral:rRNA from 1 species
GACGAACGCUGGCGGCGUGCCUAAUACAUGCAAGUAGAACGCUGAAGAGAGGAGCUUGCUCUUCUUGGAUGAGUUGCGAACGGGUGAGUAACGCGUAGGUAACCUGCCUGGUAGCGGGGGAUAACUAUUGGAAACGAUAGCUAAUACCGCAUAAAAUUGAUUAUUGCAUGAUAAUUAAUUGAAAGAUGCAAUUGCAUCACUACCAGAUGGACCUGCGUUGUAUUAGCUAGUUGGUGAGGUAACGGCUCACCAAGGCGACGAUACAUAGCCGACCUGAGAGGGUGAUCGGCCACACUGGGACUGAGACACGGCCCAGACUCCUACGGGAGGCAGCAGUAGGGAAUCUUCGGCAAUGGGGGGAACCCUGACCGAGCAACGCCGCGUGAGUGAAGAAGGUUUUCGGAUCGUAAAGCUCUGUUGUAAGAGAAGAACGGGUGUGAGAGUGGAAAGUUCACACUGUGACGGUAUCUUACCAGAAAGGGACGGCUAACUACGUGCCAGCAGCCGCGGUAAUACGUAGGUCCCGAGCGUUGUCCGGAUUUAUUGGGCGUAAAGCGAGCGCAGGCGGUUAGAUAAGUCUGAAGUUAAAGGCUGUGGCUUAACCAUAGUAUGCUUUGGAAACUGUUUAACUUGAGUGCAGAAGGGGAGAGUGGAAUUCCAUGUGUAGCGGUGAAAUGCGUAGAUAUAUGGAGGAACACCGGUGGCGAAAGCGGCUCUCUGGUCUGUAACUGACGCUGAGGCUCGAAAGCGUGGGGAGCAAACAGGAUUAGAUACCCUGGUAGUCCACGCCGUAAACGAUGAGUGCUAGGUGUUAGGCCCUUUCCGGGGCUUAGUGCCGCAGCUAACGCAUUAAGCACUCCGCCUAGGGAGUACGACCGCAAGGUUGAAACUCAAAGGAAUUGACGGGGGCCCGCACAAGCGGUGGAGCGUGUGGUUUAAUUCGAAGCAACGCGAAGAACCUUACCAGGUCUUGACAUCCCUCUGAUCGCUCUAGAGAUAGAGUUUUCCUUCGGGACAGAGGUGACAGGUGGUGCAUGGUUGUCGUCAGCUCGUGUCGUGAGAUGUUGGGUUAAGUCCCGCAACGAGCGCAACCCCUAUUGUUAGUUGCCAUCAUUCAGUUGGGCACUCUAGCGAGACUGCCGGUAAUAAACCGGAGGAAGGUGGGGAUGACGUCAAAUCAUCAUGCCCCUUAUGACCUGNGCUACACACGUGCUACAAUGGCUGGUACAACGAGUCGCAAGCCGGUGACGGCAAGCUAAUCUCUGAAAGCCAGUCUCAGUUCGGAUUGUAGGCUGCAACUCGCCUACAUGAAGUCGGAAUCGCUAGUAAUCGCGGAUCAGCACGCCGCGGUGAAUACGUUCCCGGGCCU